rnacentral:rRNA from 1 species
AAUGAACGUUGGCGGCAUGGAUUAGGCAUGCAAGUCGAGCGAGAAGAGUUUUGAAGCUUGCUUUAGAACUCGGACAGCGGCGAAAGGGAGAGUAACGCGUAGUUAUGUGCCCUAGGGUCCGGAAUAGCCACGGGAAACUGUGGGUAAUGCCGGAUAAUAUCCCCGGAUCAAAGGUGAUUCCGCCCUAGGAGCAGACUGCGUCCUACUAGCUAGUUGGUGGGGUAAUGGCCCACCAAGGCAAUGAUGGGUAGCGGGUGUGAGAGCAUGACCCGUCUCCCUGGGACUGAGACACUGCCCAGACACCUACGGGUGGCUGCAGUCGAGAAUCUUCGGCAAUGGGCGAAAGCCUGACCGAGCGAUGCCGCGUGCGGGAUGAAGGCCCUCGGGUUGUAAACCGCUGUCGUAGGGGAGGAAGGUUCCGUGAAGAGCGGGACUUGACCUAUCCUAGGAGGAAGUACGGGCUAAGUUCGUGCCAGCCGCCGCUGUAAAAC